UACGUAGGCAGCAAGCGUUGUUCGGAGUUACUGGGCGUAAAGGGUGUGUAGGCGGUUUUUUAAGUUUGGUGUGAAAUCUCCCGGCUCAACUGGGAGGGUGCGCCGAAUACUGAAAGACUAGAGUGCGGGAGAGGUAAGCGGAAUUCCUGGUGUAGCGGUGAAAUGCGUAGAUAUCAGGAGGAACACCGGCGGUGUAGACGGCUUACUGGACCGUGACUGACGCUGAGGCACGAAAGCGUGGGUAGCAAACAGG
rnacentral:rRNA from 1 species